CAGCCGCCACGGGAAUACGUAGGUGGCAAGCGUUGUCCGGAAUUAUUGGGCGUAAAGCGCGCGCAGGUGGUUUAAUAAGUCUGAUGUGAAAGCCCACGGCUCAACCGUGGAGGGUCAUUGGAAACUGUUAAACUUGAGUGCAGGAGAGAAAAGUGGAAUUCCUAGUGUAGCGGUGAAAUGCGUAGAGAUUAGGAGGAACACCAGUGGCGAAGGCGGCUUUUUGGCCUGUAACUGACACUGAGGCGCGAAAGCGUGGGGAGCAAACAGGAUUAGAUACCCGCGUAGUCCCUGUCUCUUAUAC
rnacentral:rRNA from 1 species